rnacentral:rRNA from 1 species
UUUGACCUCAAAUCAGGUAGGACUACCCGCUGAACUUAAGCAUAUCAAUAAGCGGAGGAAAAGAAACUAACAAGGAUUCCCCUAGUAACGGCGAGUGAAGAGGGAAGAGCUCAAAUUUGAAAUCUGGCAGUCUACGGCUGUCCGAGUUGUAAUCUAGAGAAGUGUUUUCCGUGCUGGACCGUGUACAAGUCCUUUGGAACAAGGCGUCAUAGAGGGUGAGAAUCCCGUCUACGACACGGACUACCAGUGCUCUGUGAUACACUCUCAACGAGUCGAGUUGUUUGGGAAUGCAGCUCAAAAUGGGUGGUAAAUUCCAUCUAAAGCUAAAUACAGGCGAAAGACCGAUAGCGAACAAGUACCGUGAGGGAAAGAUGAAAAGCACUUUGGAAAGAGAGUUAAACAGUACGUGAAAUUGUUGAAAGGGAAACGCUUGAAGUCAGUCGCGUCUUCAGAAAUUCAGCCUGGCUUCUGCCUGGUGUACUUUUCUGUUGGACGGGCCAGCAUCGGUUUCGGCCGCCAGAAAAAGGUGGGAGGAAGGUGGCACCUCCGGGUGUGUUAUAGCCUCUCAUCGUAUGUGGCGGCUGGGACCGAGGACCGCAGCACGCCUUCAAUGGCCGGGGUUCGCCCACGUAACGUGCUUAGGAUGCUGGCGUAAUGGCUUUAAGCGACCCGUCUUGAAACACGGACCAAGGAGUCUAACAUGCCUGCGAGUAUUUGGGUGGCAAACCCAUAUGCGGAAUGAAAGUGAACAGUUGGGACUUCUGUCAUGGAAGGCACCGACGCCCGGACCAGACCUACUGUGACGGAUCCGAGGUAGAGCAUGUAUGUUGGGACCCGAAAGAUGGUGAACUAUGCCUGAGUAGGGUGAAGCCAGAGGAAACUCUGGUGGAGGCUCGUAGCGAUUCUGACGUGCAAAUCGAUCGUCGAACUUGGGUAUAGGGGCGAAAGACUAAUCGAAC